rnacentral:rRNA from 1 species
UACGUAGGGUCCAAGCGUUGUCCGGAAUCAUUGGGCGUAAAGCGCGCGUAGGUGGUUCGGUAAGUCGGAUGUGAAAUCUCCAGGCUCAACCUGGAGGGGUCAUUCGAUACUGCCGUGACUAGAGUUCGGUAGGGGAGUGUGGAAUUCCUGGUGGAGCGGUGAAAUGCGCAGAUAUCAGGAGGAACACCCGUAGCGAAGGCGGCACUCUGGGCCGAUACUGACACUGGGGAGCGAAGGCGUGGGGAGCGAACAGG